rnacentral:rRNA from 1 species
UAGUAACUGCGAGUGAAGCGGGAAAAGCUCAAAUUUAAAAUCUGGCAGUCUUUGGCUGUCCGAAUUGUAUUCUGGAGAAGCGUUUUCCGCGCUGGACCGUGUACAAGUCUCUUGGAAUAGAGCGUCAUAGAGGGUGAGAAUCCCGUCUUUGACACGGACUACCAGUGCUUUGUGAUGCGCUCUCAAAGAGUCGAGUUGUUUGGGAAUGCAGCUCAAAAUGGGUGGUGAAUUCCAUCUAAAGCUAAAUAUUGGCGAGAGACCGAUAGCGAACAAGUACCGUGAGGGAAAGAUGAAAAGCACUUUGGAAAGAGAGUUAAACAGUACGUGAAAUUGCUGAAAGGGAAACGCUUGAAGUCAGUCGCGUCAUCCAGAACUCAGCCUGGCUUUUGCUUGGUGUAUUUUCUGGUUGACGGGCCAGCAUCAGUUUUGACCGCUGGAAAAAGGCCAUGGGAAUGUGGCACCUUCGGGUGUGUUAUAGCCCGUGGUCAUAUACAGCGGUUGGGACUGAGGACCGCAGCACGCCUUUAUGGUUGGGGUUCGCCCACAUUCGUGCUUAGGAUGCUGGCGUAAUGGCUUUAAACGACCCGUCUUGAAACACGGACCAAGGAGUCUAACAUGCCUGCGAGUGUUUGGGUGGAAAACCCGAGCGCGUAAUGAAAGUGAAAGUUGGGAUCCCUGUCGUGGGGAGCACCGACGCCCGGACCAGACCUUUUGUGACGGAUCCGCGGUAGAGCAUGUAUGUUGGGACCCGAAAGAUGGUGAACUAUGCCUGAAUAGGGUGAAGCCAGAGGAAACUCUGGUGGAGGCUCGUAGCGAUUCUGACGUGCAAAUCGAUCGUCAAAUUUGGGUAU